rnacentral:rRNA from 1 species
UACGGGGGGGGUAAGCGUUGUUCGGAAUUACUGGGCGUAAAGGGCUCGUAGGCGGCCAACUAAGUCCGACGUGAAAUCCCAAGGCUUAACCUUGGAACUGCGUCGGAUACUGGAUGGCUUGAGUUCGGGAGAGGGAUGCGGAAUUCCAGGUGUAGCGGUGAAAUGCGUAGAUAUCGUAAGGAACGCCAGUGGCGAAAGCGAAUCUCUGGGCAGCAACUGACGCUGAGGCACGAAGGCCAGGGGAGCAAACGGG